UUGUCUCGCAUUAUAAAUCAUAACAUUAACAGCUUGUACUCUUCUUUACAUUGAAUACAAAAGCAUUACUAAUUUGCGGCUACUACAUAUUACCUCAUCGCAGCCAAAUCCUAGUCAUUUUGCAAUUCUUGUCAGAGGAAUACCUUGGUCUUCAGAUCAAUCAUACUGCGAAACAGUGAAAAAGUUUUUUUCAUUCUAUCACCCCUCAACAUAUUUGUCGCACCAAAUUGUGUAUAAGUCUGGUUCAGUCCAGAAACUGAAGGAUGAUGCAGAAUAUAUGUGUAAAAUGCUCAGUUCUGGUUGUGGUUCAAUGGAACAGACGUGUAAGCCAAGUUUUGCGCAAUGUUACUUUUGUGGAGGAUCCACUAAUUCUUUUAAGAUUAUUUCUAAUGAAACUGAUAGUAUACACGGAAGAACAGGCUACUCUGACGUGCAUUUAAAUGCAAGAAAAAAGGUCAAUUUCUGGCUGAUUUGAUUUAUAUAAUUACAAUAUUAAUGUGUUAAGGCGUUUCAUUUUUGUGAUCUAGUGAACUCCCUUGAUAAGAAUUUUCUUGAUCUAAUAUGAACAUGUGAAACCUCUUUAAACUCUAUUUGAUUUUUAAUGAUUCACUUAUUAUUUUCUCUUCUGCGGCACUGUCCAAUUU